UUGUCUCUCCCGUUAGAUAUGUUUGAUAUUCUUGGUUUUGAUAACAAUUUUCAAGUAACCAGAAGUCAAACAUAUGUUAUGGUGGAGAAUU
rnacentral:pre_miRNA from 1 species